GAUGAACGCUAGCGACAGGCUUAACACAUGCAAGUCGAGGGGCAGCGGGUAGAUGAGCUUGCUCAUUUAUGCCGGCGACCGGCGCACGGGUGAGUAACACGUAUGCAACCUGCCCGUCUCAGGGGGAUAAUCGUCGGAAACGGCGUCUAAUACCCCGUAUGAAGCUGGACGGCAUCGUCUGGUUUUGAAAGAAUAUCGGAGACGGAUGGGCAUGCGGCGCAUUAGCUGGUUGGCGGGGUAACGGCCCACCAAGGCGACGAUGCGUAGGGGUUCUGAGAGGAAGGUCCCCCACACUGGUACUGAGACACGGCCCAA
rnacentral:rRNA from 1 species